rnacentral:lncRNA from 1 species
UCCAACUGCAGUCUCGUGUAAUGAGCACACUUGUAUUCAUCAAAGUACUACAUAACAAAACAUAAUAUGCAUGAUUUAGUUAAAAGUAAUAAAUAAUAUGAAAUAUUCGAUAAUAUUAAAACAAAUCCUAAGUUAUAAAUCCAUACCGUGAUUGGAAUCUCUAUUUGAUUCAUAUUAAUGAUUUCCCUCAUAAACCUCAUUACAAAGUAUCCCGCAAUCGAUACGUUGCGCUGUAGAGGACACUACUUAGAAAAAUAAAUAAGAAUGUAUAGUUAUCUUUCUUAUCAAUAGCAUCAAUUAUAAGCAAAAUUGUGAAAUUAAAGUACCUGCACUUUUAUCCACGUAAUGUUGCUGGAUUUAGUACGUGGUACUCGAGCUUGUCUUUGAGAUCGGAACACUUUUAUUGAUCUAACAAAAUAAAACAUAUAUUUAGAACAAUCUCACAUAAAUAUACACGAAUAUUUAGAACAGUCUCACUUACGUAUCAACUAAUUGCUUCAUAUCCGGAUAAUUUGUCCAUUCACCAUCUUCACGGGUCCCAAUUCAGUUCUCAUUCCCAUGUUUACCAUGUCCUUCCUUACAAGAUGUACAUGCAUUUGCUACUUGCUAGUUAUGAUGCAGCAUCCAUUCAUUUUAGGGAAUAUCUAAUUUUGAAC